rnacentral:rRNA from 1 species
AACGAACGCUGGCGGCAUGCCUAACACAUGCAAGUCGAACGAGAUCUUCGGGUCUAGUGGCGCACGGGUGCGUAACGCGUGGGAAUCCGCCCUUUGGUUCGGAAUAACAGUUGGAAACGACUGCUAAUACCGGAUGAUGACGAAAGUCCAAAGAUUUAUCGCCAGAGGAUGAGCCCGCGUAGGAUUAGCUAGUUGGUGUGGUAAAGGCGCACCAAGGCGACGAUCCUUAGCUGGUCUGCGAGGAUGAUCAGCCACACUGGGACUGAGACACGGCCCAGACUCCUACGGGAGGCAGCAGUGGGGAAUAUUGGACAAUGGGCGAAAGCCUGAUCCAGCAAUGCCGCGUGAGUGAUGAAGGCCUUAGGGUUGUAAAGCUCUUUUACCCGGGAUGAUAAUGACAGUACCGGGAGAAUAAGCUCCGGCUAACUCCGUGCCAGCAGCCGCGGUAA